CCGCCUCUCUCUCUCUCUCUCUAGCCGCCUCUCUCUCUCUCUCUCUCUCUCUCUCUAGCCGCCUCUCUCUCUCUCUCUCUCUAGCCGCCUCUCUCUCUCUCUCUAGCCGCCUCUCUCUCUCUCUAGCCGCCUCUCUCUCUCUCUCUAGCCGCCUCUCUCUCUCUCUCCGCCUCUCUCUCUAGCCGCCUCUCUCUCUCUCUCUAGCCGCCUCUCUCUCUCUCUCUAGCCGCCUCUCUCUCUCUCUCUCUCUCUCUCUCUAGCCGCCUCUCUCUCUCUCUCUAGCCGCCUCUCUCUCUCUCUAGCCGCCUCUCUCUAGCCGCCUCUCUCUCUCUCUCUAGCCGCCUCUCUCUCACUCUCUAGCCGCCUCUCUCUAGCCGCCUCUCUCUAGCCUUCUCUCAUAGCCAUGACUAUAAAUGAAAGGCACCGCUUCAGUUCCCCAAAAAUGUUCAGUGAAAAUAUAGAUUGAGGUUACUUCAUUUUCUUUUGACGGUAUAAAGGCAGCCGAAAGCAAUAAGUCUGAAACGAUUAAAUAGUUUCCUGUGCAUGUUUAUUUUAUAGUAUAUAAAUAUAUGACCCUACAGUGCACCCUUUGCAUUAUCAUGAUAUCAUUGUUAGCUGUAUUUGUGUAUGUAGUCGACAGAGAGAAAGCCUAUCAGUAAAGUAUAGUACCCAGUCAGCUAUGACUAUGGAGGGAGAGAGGGGGGGACUCGGGUGUGUUCGUGGUGUAUAUUGAUAGUAAAAUACUUGUAUCUUUAAACAUUCAGCAUUGAGUCCGAUAAAUAUAUUUACCAGUCCGAUAAAUAUAUAUUACCAGUCAGAUAUAUAUAUAUACUACCAGAGCCGUAUUCCAGAGGGAGCAGAGAGUGUUCAGACUGAUGAGGUGCAGUGUCUGGGAGGUCUGGAACUGCUACAAAGGAAAGAGAGAGAUAAAAUAAACCAGAUUGACCAGAGAGAUAUGCCCUGAUGGACUGGUAGGUCAUAUUCUGAUAACUUUCUACAUUUCUCCAGUGGAAAUUUUCUUUAAAAAGCAGGCUAUGACUGAAUCGUCUCCUUGCUCACAAGGUUUCUGUGGUAAUAGAGAAUUUCAUGUUCUCAGUAACCAAUAGAGCAGUGAUCUUCUUGUUUGUUUAACCACAGUAUGCGCUAACUGUAGCAGGGUGCACAUACAACAAAAAGAGGCUAAGAUGACAUUUUCAUAUUGAUAAUUAUCCAGAAACAUUACUUUCUUUAUGUGGCUCACCUUCACUCUACUAUAUUUGAACCUUUUUCCUCUUAUUGUCCAAGUAUUACCGUAGUGACAGAAACACAAAUCCAACAGAUAUGACACCAGUAAAAUGUAAACUGACCAAGGAAUCACCACCAAUGCACUUCCUGUAAUCUGUGCAGUUGGGGACAAACAAACAAAAACAUGCAAUCUCGUUUGGCCGGAAAACAUUUGGCUGUGACAUUUACUAAAUGAGAGCAGAUGAAUGGAGCAGAGUUGUAUAUCCAGGCUAACCUUUAGCUUGUUGAAUAUGUUGAUGAAAUUAGCCUCAUGCCCUGGUGCUGCGUGUUUAUGCAGUAGAGCUCAGAAGCAAUGAGCGCUCAGGGCAGAUGCUGCACGAUGGAAGCAUAGGGUAGCUCUCUAUAUUCAUCAGUUGGCGAGGCGCUCUGCUAUAGUUCAGGUUUGCAUAAUGGAAACAGGAGUUAAACAUGACUCUGCUGUUUGGCCUCGUAGGGAAAACCACUUCAGUUUCAGGUGACAUUAAUGUCCCAGUUCAAUAUAAUUAAGUUUUGCUUGCGUAAAGAAAGUACAACUUUUAUGUAAACUACGUACGCUUCAUCUGCUUUAUGAACUGCACUGUAUGAGAUGACAUUAUAACGUCCCAGGAAAUUAUUUUGUUACUUCAUUGUAAAUUGUAUGAAAGCUACCAACAUCCUUAACCUCACACAAACAACCACACACACACCUACCCACAGAUCACCUGGCCUCAGUACUGUAAGGGUGCAUGUGUGUAUAUGAUGUGAUACCUGUGAGAAGACGUGUAUGUGUCCUGUUCCCACUGCUCUGGUAGAUCAGGCUGUGUGUGUGUGUCUGUGUGUCUCAGUGAGGGGUCGGAACAGGGCAGGUGCUGGGGACAGGUCCCUGCCGGCUCAUGGUCCAAUCACUAAUUAGGUUGAGGGUCUUUGUUCCUCCACCAUGGGAAAGGCUCCUCUUCACAGCUCCCUAACCCCUCUCUCUCCCCUCCCUAACCCCUCUCUAACCCCUCUCCUUACCCUGCCUAACCCCUCCCUAACCCCUAUCUCUCUCCCCCUCCCUAACCCCUCUCUAACCCCUCUCCUUACCCUGCCUAACCCCUCUCUCUACGCUCCUAACCCCUCUCUCCACCCUCUCUAACCCCUCUCUCCACCCUCCCUAACCUCUCUCUCCACCCUCCCUAACCCCUCUCUCCACCCUCCUAAUCCCUCUCUUUACCCUCCCUAACCCCUCUCUCACC
ensembl:lncRNA